AGAAGCUAAGCCCAUGAGGCCCAACGCGGAGGGGCCAAGAUCAGCUCUGGGUGAUGCGAUCCAAGGACGGGGAGAGGCUUAGUCAGGAGGGGAGUUUACCCAGGGCUGGAGGGCACAGGAGAGAAUGGAGGAUAGAUAACGGCUGGUGACUCAGAGCCUAUGGUCCAAACCUGCACAGUGCCACUUGGAUGACACCAGAGAAGAUCAAGGUUAGGGCUGGGGUUGGGCAGAACUGGAGCAGAAACAACUGAGCAAAGCCGAGGGAGGAAAGGCUGUGAUUUCCACGAGCGAUACUGCAGGACUUCCUAGGCCGCUGCUGUCCGGGCGGGGCAUGCAGGAGACCUAAAGUUCCAGGUGGACAGUGGAGCCCAGGAGGGUGCCUGAGACCCCUGCAAGCGGGUGUAACAUAAAGGCCGACUCCAGUGCACACUUUCAGGGCUUCCUCUAUGCUGACCACCGUUCCAGGGCCAUAAAUGAACUCAACAAGCCUGUGAAGUGGAUGCUGUUCUUGCCCCACAUUUACAGACGAGUGACCUGAAGCACAGAGAGGCUGAGGGAAUGGCCAAGGUCCCACAGCUAGGAAAUGGCAAAACCGGGUCCCCAGAAACAUGUAGGGCUCAGCCUGGGCCUGGAGGUGACGGCAGCGUUUGUCAGUGAGGAGAACCCGGGAAGGAGGUGGAGAGUGAUCCUGCAUCCCCAUUUUUCUAGAUGUGUCCACAGAGGCUCAGAAGGAUGAGACUUGCCCUAGACCACGCACCCAGUAAAGGGCCAGAUUCGGGCCAUGAGUCUUUGUUGGAACCAUCACAGGAGAAUGCUGGCUGCUCACUGCGUCUGACCAGGCACACGGGAUUCUGUGUGUGGCCUUUUACUGACAAUGUCCACUUGGAUCAUUUGACUAAGGAGGCAGCUGUCAGCUUCUUCCCUGUAAGAGUAUUCCUUUCUCUUUGUCACUACGAAGGAUGUUGUGGGAGAGGUUCUUAGAAAGCAUGGAAGUAUCCCAUUUCUCAUCAAGCAUCCGCCCACCACUUUCAGCACCCAUGGAUGGUUCUCAGUGGAAUGAAGUAUCACUGUGAGGGCAGCCCCAGAGAGCCUGCCCCAUGUAUUUGCUUAAUGAAUGAAUCUGCACUUCAUUGCCCAAGAGGUGGGUGGAGUGACCACAGCUCCUCAUGCCACCAGGUCCUUUUCUCAUGCAAGCCCUGCACAGGGCCAGGGAGUGGGCAAUGCUGCUUCCAUGCACCCACCUGACUGCAUCCCCCAUCUUUGCGUGAGCAAGCUCCAGGACUCCCCCGGCACCUGCAGCAAAGCCAGAUCUCCUACCAGGAACAACGUGCAGCCCUUCAGGUCCAUGAAGGGUUUUAAGUCAGGGAAGGUGACACAUUUGAUUUAUGUUAAGCAAAACCAAACGAAAACAAAACAAAAGCAAACACCCUGGCUGUUGUGCAAACAGCUUGGAGUGGUUCAGAUUUGCAGUCAGGCAGACCAAUGAAGACUCAGUGAGGAUGUUUGGGAAGGCUGAGUAGAGACCUUAUUUUUAAGCAUGUGAGGAGGCCCAAUGCCAGGGAAGGGCAGGAAGGGGCCCUGGCUCCUCCAAGGCUGCUGGGGCUGUGGACGGCAGGGGAGUUCUAUGUGUACCCACCCCAUCCCGCCAGCCUCUGCUGACUCCUGCCCUGGACACACCAUACCUUUGGUUUCCCUUAGCAGCUCUUCUGUGAACUUGACCAC
rnacentral:lncRNA from 1 species